UGACGCUGGCGGCAGGCUAACACACUGCAAGUCGAACGGUAACAUGACUAGCUUGCUAGUUGAUGACGAGUGGCGGACGGGUGAGUAACGCGUAGGAAUCUACCCAGUAGCGGGGUGAUAAGCCAGAGAAAUUUGGUCUAAUACCGCAUACGCCCUACGGGGGAAAGCAGGGGAUCUUCGGACCUUGCACUAUUGGAUGAGCCUAGUCAGCUGAGAGUUAGGCUUGAUCAAGGUGGAAGAGUAAGUGGUCCUCACCCAAAGGUCGACGAAUACUCUAGGCUAGGUCUAGAAGAAGGAUGAAUCAGCGCACACCUGGUAACUGAGACACGGUACCAGACUCCUACGCGGAGGCAAGACACCUGGGGAAUAUUGCACAAGUGGGCGCAAGCCUGCAUGCAGACCAUGCCUGCGUGUGCUGAAGAAGGCCCUAGCGGUUGUAAAGCACAUUUCAAGCCAGUGACGCGAAAGGUUGUAAGUUAAUACCUUGGCAACCUGUGACGUUAACUGCAGAAGAAGGCACCGGCUAACUCCGUGGCCAGCAGCCGCGGUAAUACGGAGGGUGCGAGCGUUAAUCGGAAUUACUGGGCGUAAAGCGCGCGUAGGUGGAUUGGUCAGUCAGAUGUGAAAGCCCAGGGGCUCAAC
rnacentral:rRNA from 1 species